rnacentral:rRNA from 1 species
GCAGCGCGGGGCAACCUGGCGGCGAGUGGCGAACGGGUGAGUAAUAUAUCGGAACGUACCCAAGAGUGGGGGAUAACGCAGCGAAAGUUGUGCUAAUACCGCAUACGAUCUAAGGAUGAAAGCAGGGGACCGCAAGGCCUUGUGCUCCUGGAGCGGCCGAUAUCUGAUUAGCUAGUUGGUGAGGUAAAGGCUCACCAAGGCGACGAUCAGUAGCUGGUCUGAGAGGACGACCAGCCACACUGGAACUGAGACACGGUCCAGACUCCUACGGGAGGCAGCAGUGGGGAAUUUUGGACAAUGGUCGCAAGCCUGAUCCAGCAAUGCCGCGUGAGUGAAGAAGGCCUUCGGGUUGUAAAGCUCUUUUGUCAGGGAAGAAACGACUGUGGCUAAUAUCCACGGCUAAUGACGGUACCUGAAGAAUAAGCACCGGCUAACUACGUGCCAGCAGCCGCGGUAAUACGUAGGGUGCAAGCGUUAAUCGGAAUUACUGGGCGUAAAGCGUGCGCAGGCGGUUUUGUAAGUCUGACGUGAAAUCCCCGGGCUUAACCUGGGAAUUGCGUUGGAGACUGCAAGGCUAGAAUCUGGCAGAGGGGGGUAGAAUUCCACGUGUAGCAGUGAAAUGCGUAGAGAUGUGGAGGAACACCGAUGGCGAAGGCAGCCCCCUGGGUCAAGAUUGACGCUCAUGCACGAAAGCGUGGGGAGCAAACAGGAUUAGAUACCCUGGUAGUCCACGCCCUAAACGAUGUCUACUAGUUGUCGGGUCUUAAUUGACUUGGUAACGCAGCUAACGCGUGAAGUA